rnacentral:rRNA from 1 species
UAGGGAAUCUUCCACAAUGGACGCAAGUCUGAUGGAGCAACGCCGCGUGAGUGAAGAAGGGUUUCGGCUCGUAAAGCACUGUUGUUAAAGAAGAACGUGGGUAAGAGUAACUGUUUACCCAGUGACGGUAUUUAACCAGAAAGCCACGGCUAACUACGUGCCAC